CUCAAUCUUAUCAGACUAAAUUAAAUUCAUAAAUAAAGUAAUCUAGUUUUGUUGUUUUCUGACACUGGAUGGAAAUCAAAUCCAAACAAACUGAUCUCCCUUUCUAAAACUUAAUGAUCUAAUGUGUUCAAAAUGGCAGUGACCCUUUUCAAAAAGCAGAAAAAGAAAAGGUGAAAGCAAACAUUUUGAGGGAGAUGAAUGAAAAAAAAAAUGACAACAAAAGAAGAAAGGUGGAGGAGAAUUCAAUAAAUGAAUAAAGAGAAGCAAAACCAUGCAAGUAAGAGCCAAGUCCAAUUUCGAAUGUCUGUGUUCCAGCAGACAGAUUCCUCUUAUGCAAUGAUUGGGGCUGCUGCUGCUGCUUCUGCUUCUGCUUCUUCUUCUUCUCUACCUAUGUAAAAAUUAACCAUAAAAUUAAGGAACCGUAAAUGUUCCCCUCCCAAAUAAAAAAAAAAAAAGAAAGAAAGAAAAGACUAUGGUGUGCAUUGAAUUGGCAUAGGAGUCAAGGUCUUCAAAGAAAUUGUUAUUUAUUUAUUUAUGAUUUUUGUUCAUUGAACUUUAUGGAUAAGAUAUAAUUUGAUAUUUGUUGAAAAGGGUUCUUUUGAUGAGGUUAAAAUUAAAUGAGAUGGGAAGCACGUUCGUCCCGACACCAAUCUUCUCCUUCCAAUUCCAUUGCUGCAUCUUGCCGCCACACAUUAAUAUGCUUUCGCAUAAUGUCUUUUUAGGAAUCUCAUGUUUUUGAAACUUUCCCUCUUCUUCUUUUCCAUUAGCUGGCAAUCUGCUUUUUCUUUGUCUAAUUUGAUUUAUUGUUUUUAGUUUAUUCAAUACAAAGAAUGAACACCUUUCCCUCUCUCAAAUAUCACAAGAUUCUGUGUAUCCUUUUAAUAUGUACCUGCACUACCAAUUUCUUUCAUUUUAUUCCAUGCUUGUUAUGUUGUGUGUGGGACGAAUUUAAGCCACGUGUUGUUCUUUUAGAUCAUUGGGCUUGAUCUGUAUUUAUCUUGUAAUGGGCCGCCGUUAUUGGACUUGGGCUUAACAUAAUGAUUACGGCUUAGGGAUCCAAACAUAUGAGUUUAGGCCCAAUAAAGAGGCGCGAAGUUGUCCGCGAGUGAGACUCGGUGAGUGAGGAGAACCCUUCUGGGUUUCGGAUAAGCAAUGAAUAACACGAAUUUCGUCUCUAAUCCUAUGCUUCCUCUCCCAUUACUAC
rnacentral:lncRNA from 1 species